rnacentral:lncRNA from 1 species
UACAAACUUGUAAUAUGAAAAUAUUUGCAGACACCAAUGGCAGAUAUUCACAAAACUUUGAAUUGGCUUUUACUCAUAAAAAUGAUUCCUAACCCAAUUAUCUAACAGGCUAAUAAUACAUUCACUAAUCUAGUAGAACAAAAAAUAAGAGUUCCCCUGCACAAGGGCAGGGAAAAAAGCAAAAAAACGGAAAGUAGGGAGGGGGUUACAAGGAAGGAAGAGACGAUCCUGUACACAUACCUCUAUAUUCGUCUCUUUCCAAAGAAAAUAGUGAAAAUACCCUCUAAAAACAGCGGUAAUAUACAAGACCUGUGAAAUGAAUAAGUAAGCAAUAAUGCCUACCAAUACAAUUUUUCCUAAAUUUUAACAGGACCUACUGAAAACAAUGGAUAUCUAUCUCCAUAUUCCAAAGCCCUCAUGUAUGACCAGCAUCAUCUGCAGACAAACCAUAACAAAAUUGAAGUCUUCUUUUCAUUCAGCCAUGAGAAAUAUAGAUAAAUACAACAUUAAAAAAAAUAAAAAUUGAAGGUCAUAUUCACAAAAAGGAAAAAAGGAUGCACAAUUAAUAGGAACCUCGGAUCCAAUUUCAAGAGUGGAUUUCCUCUAAGAGAAAACAAUAACGGCAUCCCAACAUCGGAUAUGUGCAAUACAUAUUACAAAAGAAUAAAUUUUCAUCAGUGAAUUCUCUAGGAGAAACAAUCACCAUAUUAAAGCAUAAAUGUUAGUCAAGUGAGAUACUAUUUGCAUCUAAAAAUCGUUAUGGUCAUUUGAGGGGCCCAGUAUGUAUGUAUGGUUAUGGUAGCAGCGGGGAAGUGAAAUUAGGCCCAUGAAGGCAGAAGUGAGGAGUGGAACACGUGAAUGUGAUUGAAGGAGGGAGAAUAACAAAAAUGACAAGUAAAGGAGUUGGGAGGGAGGAAAAUUGGAAUCAAUAUUAGCUAGCCUGAAUGACUCUUCCUUAGGAAAGGGAGAUUUUCACUUAUUUUCUUAUUUUUUCUUAUUUUCUUGAGUCGCAGCCCUGUAACAGAUUUAUACCUCUGACAAGCUCUACUUCAGUAUCGACAUUGCUUUAGUUUUACCAUUCCAAUAUCAAAAAGAAAUAUUAUUUGCAUUUAAAAAAUUCCAUUGUCUUUUACAUACAUAACUGCAUCAUAGUUAACAAUGUCAGAUAUACAAAUUGGAUGGCUGCUACAAUACGAACUAAAUAAUUUAUACACAUAAUAAAAGAAAUUAAAGAAAUUCAGAAUAAAUAUGUCACGGUUUACACUAACAAUCAACACCAAGGCUAGAGUAAUAAAAUGUAGGAAUGAAGGGGAAAAAUUUGAAGAUGAUGGUGAAAUUAUUAGGAAGGAAAAACAGAAUAACUGAGAAAAAUUAGGAAAAAACAGUGCCAACAGAGACCAGUGAUUGGUCAGUGGCCAUCAAAAUACAUUAGCAAGCAGUGAGACUGAGUUAGAAAACAACAUGAAUCAAGGCAAACUUAUGUUGAUGGAGAAAGAAACCCUACAAUGCUUCUAAAGCACAAAGCACUACAAAAUGGAAGAAAAAUCAUAUGUUUACCCAAAAAAUAAACUAAAUGUAGUUUCAGGGCUAAAAAUGGGAAGCCCGUCACAGUGGCACUACAAUAGCACAUAAAAGCUACAUUUCUGGUAAC